UCAUCCUGGCUAUUGACGGCUUUGGGACAGAGUCCAUGACUCAUGCUGAUGCGCAGGACAGGAUUAAAGCAGCAGCUCACCAGCUGUGUCUCAAAAUUGACAGGGGAGAAACUCGCUUAUGGUCUCCACAAGUAUCUGAAGAUGGGAAAGCCCAUCCUUUCAAAAUCAACUUAGAAUCAGAACCACAGGAAUUCAGACCCAUUGGUACCGCGCACAAUAGAAGGGCCCAGCCUUUUGUUGCAGCUGCAAACAUUGAUGACAAAAGACAGGUAGUGAGUGCUUCCUAUAACUCACCAAUUGGGCUCUAUUCAACUAGCAAUAUACAAGAUGCGCUUCACGGACAGCUGCGGGGUCUCAUUCCUAGCUCACCUCAAAAGUAAGUAUCCGACUCUGUUCUGGCCACAGUGUACCUAACAGUGAUAGUAUGGUUUCUUUUCUUUUCAAAAGUCCAGCUCUUGCUGUUUUAUUUUUACUUUCCUGAAGGCACUAUCAGAUUUCUCUUUUAAAGACAAGCAUCUAAAACAUGUUUCUAAUUGUUGUGGGGUCCAAUCCGCCAGUGCCUGACCGUUUAGUGGAUAGAUGGUUGAAAAGAAGAGAUCGUCCUGGUUCCGUCAUCACCUUUCUUAGUUAUGACAGUAGUUGGUGGUAAAUAAUCCUCUCUGUACAAUUAUCAUUUGUUUAAUCUUAUCUGAAAAAGUAUUUGUCUUCCACUGAGGGGCCUUUUUAACGCUUUGUUUUUACAGGAUGUGAACUACUUUGAACACAA
rnacentral:sRNA from 1 species